rnacentral:rRNA from 1 species
CCUACGGGAGGCAGCAGUGGGGAAUAUUGCACAAUGGGGGAAACCCUGAUGCAGCGACGCCGCGUGAGUGAAGAAGUAUUUCGGUACGUAAAGCUCUAUCAGCGGGGACGAAAAAAAGUCCUUUGGACUUUGGACGGUACCUGACUAAGAAGCCCCGGCUAACUACGUGCCAGCAGCCGCGGUAAUACGUAGGGGGCAAGCGUUAUCCGGAUUUACUGGGUGUAAAGGGAGCGUAGACGGCAGGGCAAGUCUGGAGUGAAAUGCCGGGGCCCAACCCCGGAACUGCUUUGGAAACUGGCGGGCUAGAGAGCAGGAGAGGGCGGUGGAACUCCAUGUGUAGCGGUAAAAUGCGUAGAUAUAUGGAAGAACACCAGUGGCGAAGGCGGCCGCCUGGCCUGUUAACUGACGCUGAGGCACGAAAGCGUGGGGAGCAAAUAGGAUUAGAUACCCGAGUAGUC